AGAGUUUGAUCCUGGCUCAGAGCGAACGCUGGCGGCGUGCUUAACACAUGCAAGUCGAACGCGCAGUCCGGUGUAGCAAUACAUCGGGCGGGCGCGUGGCGAACGGGUGCGUAACACGUGGACAACUUUCCUUCUGGUGGGGAAUAACCCCGCGAAAGCGGGGCUAAUACCGCAUAACAUUCCGGGGGCACAUGCUCUUGGCUUCAAACCCGCGAGGGGCCGGAAGAGGGGUCCGCGGCCGAUUAGCUUGUUGGCGAGGUAACGGCUCACCAAGGCGAUGAUCGGUAGCCGGUCUGAGAGGAUGGCCGGCCACACUGGAACUGAGACACGGUCCAGACUCCUACGGGAGGCAGCAGUGGGGAAUUUUGCGCAAUGGGGGAAACCCUGACGCAGCAACGCCGCGUGGAGGAUGAAGCCCUUUGGGG
rnacentral:rRNA from 1 species